AACGAACGCUGGCGGCAUGCCUAACACAUGCAAGUCGAACGAUGCUUUCGGGCAUAGUGGCGCACGGGUGCGUAACGCGUGGGAAUCUGCCCUUGGGUUCGGCAUAACAGUGAGAAAUUGCUGCUAAUACCGGAUGAUGUCUUCGGACCAAAGAUUUAUCGCCCAGGGAUGAGCCCGCGUAGGAUUAGCUAGUUGGUGGGGUAAUGGCCUACCAAGGCGACGAUCCUUAGCUGGUCUGAGAGGAUGAUCAGCCACACUGGGACUGAGACACGGCCCAGACUCCUACGGGAGGGAGCAGUGGGGAAUAUUGGAAAAUGGGCGCAAGGCUGAACCAGCAAUGCCGGGUGAGUGAUGAAGGCCUUAGGGUUGUAAAGCUCUUUUAACCGGGAUGAUAAUGACAGUACCGGGAGAAUAAGCUCCGGCUAACUCCGUG
rnacentral:rRNA from 1 species